UAAUACGUAGGCAGCGAGCGUUGUUCGGAGUUACUGGGCGUAAAGAGUGUGUAGGCGGUUAGGUUAGUUUGGUGUGAAAUCUCCCGGCUUAACUGGGAGGGUGCGCCGAAUACUGCCUGGCUUGAGUGCGGGAGAGGAAAGCGGAAUUCCUGGUGUAGCGGUGAAAUGCGUAGAUAUCAGGAGGAACACCUGUGGUGUAGACGGCUUUCUGGACCGUGACUGACGCUGAGACACGAAAGCGUGGGUAGCAAACAGGAUUAGAUACCCUGGUAGUCCACGCCCUAAACGAUGCAUACUUGGUGUUGGCCAUUCAGUUGGUCAGUGCCGGAGCUAACGCGUUAAGUAUGCCGCCUGGGGAGUACGGUCGCAAGGCUG
rnacentral:rRNA from 1 species